CAGCCGCCACGGUAAUACAGAGGGUGCGAGCGUUAAUCGGAUUUACUGGGCGUAAAGCGUGCGUAGGCGGCUUUUUAAGUCGGAUGUGAAAUCCCUGAGCUUAACUUAGGAAUUGCAUUCGAUACUGGGAAGCUAGAGUAUGGGAGAGGAUGGUAGAAUUCCAGGUGUAGCGGUGAAAUGCGUAGAGAUCUGGAGGAAUACCGAUGGCAAAGGCAGCCAUCUGGCCUAAUACUGACGCUGAGGUACGAAAGCAUGGGGAGCAAACAGGAUUAGAUACCCCGGUAGUCCCUGUCUCUUAUAC
rnacentral:rRNA from 1 species